GACAGAGGGUGCAAGCGUUGUUCGGAAUCAUUGGGCGUAAAGCGCACGUAGGCGGUUUUGUAAGUCAGAUGUGAAAGCCCAGGGCUUAACCCUGGAAGUGCAUCUGAUACUGCAUGACUUGAGUCCCGGAGAGGGUGGUGGAAUUCCUGGUGUAGAGGUGAAAUUCGUAGAUAUCAGGAGGAACACCGGUGGCGAAGGCGACCACCUGGACGGGUACUGACGCUGAGGUGCGAAAGCGUGGGGAGCAAACAGG
rnacentral:rRNA from 1 species